rnacentral:lncRNA from 1 species
AAAGGUUCGGGCAAAAAUUAGGGAUAUAAAUGAAAAAUGUACACCCGGCAAGUCGAAAACCUGAAAAGGCGACUUGGGCAAAAAAGGGUAUCCCGGUGGACUGAAAACCCGAAAGGGCGGUCCAGGCAAAAGAGGGAUUGAAACGAACAACUGCGUCUAGCAUGAUCGUUUGUGCUUUGGUUAAAGCAUCAUGGAUAAUACCC